rnacentral:rRNA from 2 species
CUGAGGAGCGAAAGCGUGGGGAGCGAACAGGAUUAGAUACCCUGGUAGUCCACGCCGUAAACGAUGAGUGCUAAGUGUUAGGGGGUUUCCGCCCCUUAGUGCUGCAGCUAACGCAUUAAGCACUCCGCCUGGGGAGUACGGUCGCAAGACUGAAACUCAAAGGAAUUGACGGGGGCCCGCACAAGCGGUGGAGCAUGUGGUUUAAUUCGAAGCAACGCGAAGAACCUUACCAGGUCUUGACAUCCUCUGACAACCCUAGAGAUAGGGCUUUCCCUUCGGGGACAGAGUGACAGGUGGUGCAUGGUUGUCGUCAGCUCGUGUCGUGAGAUGUUGGGUUAAGUCCCGCAACGAGCGCAACCCUUGAUCUUAGUUGCCAGCAUUUAGUUGGGCACUCUAAGGUGACUGCCGGUGACAAACCGGAGGAAGGUGGGGAUGACGUCAAAUCAUCAUGCCCCUUAUGACCUGGGGCUACACACGUGCUAACAAUGGACAGAACAAAGGGCUGCGAGACCGCAAGGUUUAGCCAAUCCCCAUAAAAUCUGUUCUCAGU